ACAGCUGAGGAGGCUGAAGCUGGCCAGAGGAAAGGGAGAUUGCGUGAAGAUGGGAAAACACGCAGGCCAAGAAAAGCCAUCCUUCAUGAGCUUGACAGCCCUGGGAGCCGACACAGAGACUUAGUGAACGGGACUAAAGGUUGAAGCCAGAGCUACACAUGGGCUGAGGGACCCCUCCUCAUGGGUCAGAGAAAAGGCCCAUCUGGGGCCUGUCCAAGGCAGUACAUAAGCCAGAGGUCGUUACCAUCUGCAUGACUGAAGCUCUGCCAUCUGAAGCUCUGAAUAUUGUGGUUUCAUCAGACAUACCCACUGGUACAGUUUGAAUCUAGGCUGUACCCCAGAGGGCCAUAUGGUGAAGGCUUAGUGGCUGAUCUGUGGCACUUGUGGGAGAUGAUAGGAUCUUUAGGGGAAGGGCCUGAUGGGAGGUAAUUAAGUCAUUGCAUGUGUGUUCCUGUGGGGAUACUGGGACCCUGAACUCUUCCUUGUCCCUCUCUACUUCCUGACCACCAUGAGGUGAACAAGCCAGUUCUGCCAAAGACUUUGGCCAUGGUGUUCUGUGUUACCACACACCCUGAGCAACAGCGCCAAAUGAAACCGUGGU